rnacentral:tRNA from 3 species
GGGUGGUUUCCCGAGUGGCCAAAGGGGACAGACUGUAAAUCUGCUGCAACUUGCUUCGAUGGUUCGAAUCCAUCACCACCCA